CUGGCUCAGGAUGAACGCUAGCGACAGGCCUAACACAUGCAAGUCAGGGGCAGCACAAGGAGCAAUCUGAGGUGGCGACCGGCGCACGGGUGAGUAACACGUAUGCAACCUGCCUGUAAGCGGGGAAUAACCCGUUGAAAGACGGACUAAUACCGCAUAAUACUAAAUUACUGCAUGGUAAUUUAUUUAAACAUUUAUGGCUUACAGAUGGGCAUGCGCAUGAUUAGCUAGUUGGAGAGGUAACGGCUCCCCAAGGCAACGAUCAUUAGGGGUUCUGAGAGGAAGGUCCCCCACACUGGUACUGAGACACGGACCAGACUCCUACGGGAGGCAGCAGUGAGGAAUAUUGGUCAAUGGACGAGAGUCUGAACCAGCCAAGUCGCGUGCAGGAAGAAUGUCCUAUGGAUUGUAAACUGCUUUUGCAGGGGAAUAAAGUGCAUCACGUGUGAUGUUUUGUAUGUACUCUGCGAAUAAGGAUCGGCUAACUCCGUGCCAGCCGCGGC
rnacentral:rRNA from 1 species